ACUGACAGCCAUGGUUACCGCGGCUGCUGGCACGGAGUUAGCCGGUGCUUCUUCUGUGAGUGAUGUCCUUCCUGCCGGCUAUUAACCCGCAGGCCUUCUUCCUCACUGAAAGUGCUUUACAACCCGAAGGCCUUCUUCACACACGCGGCAUGGCUGGAUCAGGGUUGCCCCCAUUGUCCAAUAUUCCCCACUGCUGCCUCCCGUAGGAGUCUGGGCCGUGUCUCAGUCCCAGUGUGGCUGAUCAUCCUCUCAGACCAGCUACGGAUCGUCGCCUUGGUGAGCCGUUACCUCACCAACCAGCUAAUCCGACAUAGGCUCAUCCGAUAGCGCGAGGCCCGAAGGUCCCCCGCUUUCCCCCGUAGGGCGUAUGCGGUAUUAGCCUGGGUUUCCCCAGGUUAUCCCCCACUACCGGGCAGAUUCCUAUGCAUUACUCACCCGUCCGCCGCUCGCCACCAGGGAGCAAGCUCCCCGUGCUGCCGCUCGACUUGCAUGUGUUAGGCCUGCCGCCAACGUUCAAUCU
rnacentral:rRNA from 1 species